GUUUGAUCCUGGCUCAGGACGAACGCUGGCGGCGUGCCUAACACAUGCAAGUCGAGCGAGGAAUGACUGGUAGCUUGCUACUGGUUAUUUCUAGCGGCGGACGGGUGAGUAACGCGUGAGCAACCUGCAUUUAUCAGGGGGAUAACGCAUCGAAAGAUGUGCUAAUACCGCGUAAGACCACAGCCUCACAUGGGGCAGGGGUCAAAGGAGCAAUCCGGAUAAAGAUGGGCUCGCGUCCGAUUAGCUAGUUGGUGAGAUAACAGCCCACCAAGGCGACGAUCGGUAGCCGACCUGAGAGGGUGAUCGGCCACAUUGGAACUGAGAGACGGUCCAGACUCCUACGGGAGGCAGCAGUGGGGAAUAUUGGGCAAUGGGCGAAAGCCUGACCCAGCAACGCCGCGUGAGGGAAGAAGGGUUUCGGCUCGUAAACCUCUGUCCUAUGGGACGAAGGAAGUGACGGUACCAUAGGAGGAAGCCCCGGCUAACUACGUGCCAGCAGCCGCGGUAAUACGUAGGGGGCGAGCGUUGUCCGGAAUGAUUGGGCGUAAAGGGCGCGUAGGCGGCCUGCUAAGUCUGAAGUGAAAGUCCUGCUUUCAAGGUGGGAAGUGCUUUGGAUACUGU
rnacentral:rRNA from 1 species